rnacentral:rRNA from 1 species
UGGGGGGAUAUUGCACAAUGGGGGGAAACCCUGAUGCAGCAACGCCGCGUGAAGGAAGAAGGUCUUCGGAUUGUAAACUUUUGUCCUUGGUGAAGAUAAUGACGGUAGCCAAGGAGGAAGCUCCGGCUAACUACGUGCCAGCAGCCGCGGUAAAACGUAGGGUGCAAGCGUUGUCCGGAAUUACUGGGUGUAAAGGGAGCGCAGGCGGACCGGCAAGUUGGAAGUGAAAACUAUGGGCUCAACCCAUAAAUUGCCUUCAAAACUGCUGGCCUUGAGUAGUGCAGAGGUAGGUGGAAUUCCCGGUGUAGCGGUGGAAUGCGUAGAUAUCGGGAGGAACACCAGUGGCGAAGGCGACCUACUGGGCACCAACUGACGCUGAGGCUCGAAAGCAUGGGUAGCAAACAGGAUUAGAUACCCUGGUAGU